rnacentral:rRNA from 1 species
GACGAACGCUGGCGGCGUGCUUAACACAUGCAAGUCGAACGGAAAGGCCCUGCUUUUGUGGGGUGCUCGAGUGGCGAACGGGUGAGUAACACGUGAGUAACCUGCCCUUGACUUUGGGAUAACUUCAGGAAACUGGGGCUAAUACCGGAUAGGAUCUCCUGCUGCAUGGUGGGGGUUGGAAAGUUUCGGCGGUUGGGGAUGGACUCGCGGCUUAUCAGCUUGUUGGUGGGGUAGUGGCUUACCAAGGCUUUGACGGGUAGCCGGCCUGGGAGGGUGACCGGCCACAUUGGGACUGAGAUACGGCGCAGAAUCCUACGGGAGGCAGCAGUGGGGAAUAUUGCACAAUGGGCGGAAGCCUGAUGCAGCAACGCCGCGUGCGGGAUGACGGCCUUCGGGUUGUAAACCGCUUUCGACUGUGACGAAGCGUGAGUGACGGUAAUGGGUAAAGAAGCACCGGCUAACUACGUG